CGCCGCCUCUCCCUUCCCGUCCCGCGCGGGCCCCACGCGGAGCGGGGCGGAAGCAGCUUCCGGGCCCUUCGCGGGUGUGCGGGCGGCGCGGCCCUUCCGACCCCGGCUGGCAGUGAACCGAGCGUGGGUCGGGGCACGUCCCCGGCGGCUGCCAAGAGCCCCGCUUUGUCUCCUGGGACCGCUGGGCCCCGCGUUCCCUCCUUCUUUCCCCGCCAGCCUCGCCUAGCUUCCAGGUGCUCCAGGAAGUGGCCGGAGCGGAGACUUGCGGCCUCAAAUGCCUCAGACGGGAGCCUGCCUUCUCCUGGUGAAGAAACUGAAGCCCAGAAAGGUGCUGGCAGCAAUAGUGGAGUCUUGUGUCUUCCGCUGACAUCCAUGAAAUUGUGGCAUGCUGGCUUGUUUGUUUGCAAGUAGGCCCCCAAACUCCAUGAUUCUUUGUUGUUCAGUGACCAAGAGAAGACGUAUUUGAAAAAUAACAUGAUCUUGAGAAAGAGGAGCACAUUUCUCUGGCCUGGAAUGGAAUCUUGAAGUGACCAGCCGUUGGUCACAUGUCAAAAGGUCCUCCUCUUGAAGAUACGAUGGAGACCCCAAUUGUUGGCCAUUGAUGGAAGCCAGCACUAUUGCCUGACCUUUGUGCUUUCCACUACGUCGCUCUGUUAUCAUGAAUACAUCUCUUCUCUAGCUCUCAUUUCUUCUUUUGUAAAAUGUUCACAUUGUACCAGAUGAUUGCAAAAUCCUUUCCAGCUACGAUGAUUUUUUUUCUAAUGCAUGUGUGCCAACCCGCAUAGAUAUCGAUAAACAGUGUAUUAUAAUUUGCAAUAUUAACUGUUUUUCAGUGGGCGCACUUCUCAUCUCCUAAAAACCCCAGGUGCCAAAAUGCUUCACCGUCUCACACCCAUAUGUCUACCAUUUCUGGCUCUCUAUUAAAACUGUAUGUAAUCCCUACAA